rnacentral:lncRNA from 1 species
GGGGCAAUCUUGGCUCACUGCAACCUGCGCCUCCCAGGUUCAAGCGAUUCUCCUGCCUCAGCCUCCUGAGUACCUGGGAUUACAGGCGCCUGCCACCAUGCCCAGUUAGUUUUUGUAUUUUUAGUAGAGAUGGGGUUUCACCAUGUUGGCCAGGCUGGUCUCGAAAUCCUGACCUCGUGAUCUGCCGGCCUUGGCCUCCCGAAGUGCUGGGAUUACAAGCGUGAGCCCCCGUGCCUGGCCUUAUUUUCUUUUUAUUGAGACAGAGUCUUCCUCUGUCACCUAGGCUGGAGUGCAGUGGUGUGAUCUUGGCUCACUCUGCAACCUCCACCUCCAGGGUUCAAGUGAUCCUUCUGCCUUAGCCUCCAAGUAGCUGGCACCACAGGCAUGGGACACCACGCCUGGCUAAUUUUUGUAUUUUUAGUAGAGACGGGGUUUCACCAUGUUGUCCAGGAUGAUCUAGAACUCCUGAGCUCAGGUGAUCCACCCACCUCAGCCUCCCAAAGUGCUAGGAUUACAAGCAUGAGGCACCACGCCCAGCCUUAAGCUUAUUAUUUUCUAAAUUUCCUUUAGUGAGUACCUACUACACUGUUUUUACAAAGUAAUCACAAACCAAACAUGCGUCUUCUGAAGUGAUCUAAUAAGAGUACACAGUACCAUCUGUAAAGUGUUCUUGCCAAAAGGUUAAACCUGAAUUUGAUUAGGCCUAUAAGUCUAAUUUACAGGAAAUAAGGUUAGAGGGUUAGCAGGAUUGAUAAGGAAUCAGAGAGACUGAUGGGAUUGAGGAGGAUCUUUAUUAUUUAGGUGCACCAGCCCAGGUGGAUUAACAUCCAAAGGACUGAGCCCUGAACAAAGAGUUAAGUUACCUUUUAAGCAUUUGGUGGGGUGGGGGAGAUCUGUGCAGGGGGAAGCAUAUUACAGAAGUGAGAAACAAAGACGGUUAUUCAAUUAAUUGAGACAUAUAUUACAUCAUUUUUUACUUUUCAAGGAAAAACAUUUUUUACAACUUGAGUUUAUCUGUCUAGUGACCUUGCAGCUGCACAGCUAGGGAAACAGGAUCUUCACAGUGCCUGGGAAAGGAGGAGAGAUAAGGCUCACUAGCCACAGAAAAACAGGCAGUUAAUUUUUAAAGGACUUCAGCUCCUUCUUUUUCUCAGGGGAAAUUGGGUUUUCUUACAUACAACUGAGUUUCUGCUUACACGUUCUUUAAUUUCUUUUAAUUCCUGUUCCAGAGGAACAUGUUAAACCUCACCAUGGGGUUAUACAAUCAGCAAAAUCCAAAAUGCACAAAACUCUACAGGUCGAGUGACCUGUCCAGCAGUUCGUCUCCUAAAUCCAGAAGUAAUCCUUCCCUUCGCUCUUAACCAGUGGAGUUCUCCAUUUAUUUAUUUAUUUUUAUUAUUAUUAUUUUUGAGACAGAAUCUCACUCUAUUGCCCGGGCUGGAGGGCAGUGGCAAGAUCUCGGCUCACUGCAACCUCCGCCUCCUGGGUUCAAGGGAUUCUCCUGCCUCAGCCUCUCGAGUAGCUGGGAUUACAGGCACCCACUGCUAUGCCCAGCUUAUUUUUUUUUAUUUUUUUAUUUUUGAGACGGAGUCUUGCUCUGUCACCCAGGCUGGAGUGCUGGAGUACAGUGGCGCAAUCUCAGCUCACUGCAAGCUCCACCUCCCAGGUUCACGCCAUUGUCCUGCCUCAGCCUCCCAAGUAGCUGGGACUUCAGGUGUCCGCCACUAUGCCCAGUUAAUUUUUUGUAUUUUUUAGUAGAGAUGGGGUUUCACUGUGUUAGCCAGGAUGGUCUCGAUCUCCUAACCUUGUGAUCCGCCCACCUCAGCCUCCCAGAGUGCUGGGAUUACAGGUGUGAGCCACCACGCCCAGCCAAUUUUUUGUAUUUUUAAUAGAGACAGGGUUUCACCAUGUUGGCCAGGCUGGUCUCCAACUCCUGACCUCGUGAUCCACCCACCUCAGCCUCCCAAAGUGCUGAGAUGACAGGUGUGAGCCACUGCACCCGGCCUGGAGUUCUCCUUUUAUACAUUAACAAAUUUCUCUUGCGUCUCUACUACGUCUUGCUAGAUGUGUUGGAAAAGGAUGAAUAAAUGCAGUUCUACCCUCCACUUGUAGGUGGAGUGGAAGUGUAAACAAGCAAUUUCAACACAGUGGGAGAGGUGCUAAAGAGAGAACUGUGUGGUCACUGGGGCAGUGCACAUAACCAAAAAUAAAGAGAGACAUAUACAAGGCUCAGUGGUGGCUCAGUAGAGCAAAGCCAGGCAACAGAUGACACAGCUGUAAACAAACCAAAAUUCACCAUCAACAUAUUUUGAAAGUAUGUGGUGGUGCUGAUUUCAAAUCUUGGCUCCAUCACACACUAUGUGGCCUUGGGAAAGUUACAUAACCUCUAAGCACCAGUUUCUACCUGGGGAGAAUAUUACCUAUUCCAGGGUGUUAUUUAUGAUGAUAUUUAAAGGAAAUAAUGCAUGUAAAGUGCUUAGCACAGUCUCUGGCACUUAAUGGUACUUCCAAAUUACUACAGAAAAAAAUGUAUAUUUUUAUUUUUUAAGAGACAGGGUAUUGCUCUGUCACCCAGGCUGAGGUACAGUGGUGCAACCAUAGCUCAUUGCAACCUUGAACAGUUGUGCUGAAGUGAUCUUCCCUCCUCAGCCUCCCAAGUAGCUGGAAGGACAGGGGCGUGCCACCAUGUGCGGCUAAGUUUUUUUAAACAUUUUUUUGUAGAGAUGGGGUCUCCCUAUGUUGACCAGACUAGUUUCAAACUAUUGGCCUCAAGCAAUCCUUCUACCUUGGCCUCCCAAAAUGUUGGGAUUACAGGCAUGAGCCACUGCAUCUAGCCUGAAACAAAUCUUACAUAUAGGGAAAAAAAACUUUUAGCACAAAGAUGUAUUUAUAAUAGGAACAUUUCUGGAACACACUGAAAAUCCUCUUUUGGUUUUUUUGUUUUUGUUUUUGUUUUUUUUGAGACAGAGUCCCAGAGCUAGGAAUAUAGGCAUGCGCCACCACAUGUGGCUCAUUUUUGUAUUUUUAGUAGAGAUGUGGUCUUGUUAUGUUGGCCAGGCUGGUCUCAAACACCUAACCUCAAGUGAUUCAUCUGCCUUGGCCUCCCAAAAAUGUGGGGAUUACAGGUGUGAGCCACCACACUUCAUAUAAUAUCCUUUUGAUGGAGUAUUAUGUAGCUGUUAAACUGUGACAAUGUUUGACAGUCAUAGAUACAAAAAGCACUAAAUAAAAUUUGAAUCUGAUGUUAUCUUGGCUAUGUAAAUAGAUACCCAAAGUCCCUGGGCCUCUCCAGCCUGUGAUUUUAAAUGAGGUCACAUUAGCCUUAUACCCGAAUUUCACUGUCCCAUUGCCCCCACCAGCUCUUACAGACCUCUGCAAAGGCCCUGAGGGCCCUAGGGAAUAAAGCAUAUGCCCCACCCACCCAACUAUUCAUAAACUGUCUGUGUUUGAUGGGCACAGCCACCCUUUGCCAAGCCUUCACUCUUGCCAUACCUCAUAAAGGACACCUCCCUGUCAGGUUGACCAAACCACUUGGUUUGCCUGGAACCGAGAGGUUUCCUGGGAUUUAGGACUUUUAGUACUAAAACUGAGAGACUCUUUGGCAAACUAGGAGAACUUGGUCACCCUGACUCACUGUGCAAAGCUGCACAUUUUUUUUGCACUUCCAAGCUGCAAAAUUUUUAGAUCCCCAAAUGGAGUUGUUUUUUUUUAGCUAGAGCUCAGCUUCAUUCUUCCCAAAACAGGGACUUAUGGACCUCCCAGAGGACUGGGUGAGGUGAAUAUUCAUGUUUGAAUUCAGGGGACUUUUAUCCCUGGUACCAGGGAAGUAAAAAGAAACAACAGUCAAAAGGUUGCUUGAGAAACAGCUAAUUAGAGGAUGGGUCUAGAGAAGAGAUGCUGGUUUGGGAAACAUGAGCACAUUGGGUGGCAAAUAUCAUGAGACUGGACUGGAUGGCCCAGGACACCUGUAAACAGGAGAGAAGCCUGAGAAUAAUGACAUUUGAGCCAAUCUGCAGAGAGUCAUUCUUAUAGAAGAGCAUCAGAGGAAGAUAAAAAAGAAUCCUCAAUGUCAGGCCCCUGAGCCCAAGCUAAGCCAUCAUAACCCUGUGACCUGCACAUAUACAUCCAGAUGGCCUGAAGCAACUGAAGAACCAUAAACGUGAAAUAGCCAGUUCCUGCCUUAACUGAUGACAUUCCACCAUUGUGAUUUGUUCCUGCUCCACCCUAACUGAUCAAUUGAUCUUGUGACAUUCCUUCUCCUGGACAAUGAGUCUCAGGAGCUCCUCACCAAGCACCUUGUUACCCCCACCCCUGCCCACAAGAGAAAACGCACGUUAACUGUAAUUUUUCCACUACCUACCCAAAUCCUAUAAAACUGCCCCACCCCAUCUCCUUUUGCUGACUCCAGGUGAUUAAAAAACUAUUGCUCACACAA